UUGGAAAAAAAAAAUAGUAGUCUUUCUCUGCCUUUGCAAAAAUGAGCACUUGGGCCUCAAGACGGGUGCAGGGAAGGGGGUCUCAUUGCCAAGGAAGCCGUUCCAAUUCCUGGCCGCUCCCUCCAAUUUGGAGCUGAUUAUGUGUGUGCUGCUGUGGUUAUUCAGCACCAGCUGCCUGGCACCACCUCCUCUUUCAAGCCCACAGCUUCCUGUGGCACAGACACUUAGCUGCCACAGCUGUGCCCACAUCCCUCCUCCUCUCGGUAGAGCACAGGACAAGAAUCCUAUAACGUCCUGGAAAUACCCCAACCCCAAACCCCUACUGGAGAAAGGUACCUAGGUUUGGCCAGGAGGAGCAA
rnacentral:lncRNA from 1 species